ACACAUGCAAGUCGAGCGGUAAGGCCUUUCGGGGUACACGAGCGGCGAACGGGUGAGUAACACGUGGGUGAUCUGCCCUGCACUCUGGGAUAAGCUUGGGAAACUGGGUCUAAUACCGGAUAUGACCGCAUGNCGCAUGGNGUGUGGUGGAAAGAUUUAUCGGUGCAGGAUGGGCCCGCGGCCUAUCAGCUUGUUGGUGGGGUAAUGGCCUACCAAGGCGACGACGGGUAGCCGACCUGAGAGGGUGACCGGCCACACUGGGACUGAGACACGGCCCAGACUCCUACGGGAGGCAGCAGUGGGGAAUAUUGCACAAUGGGCGGAAGCCUGAUGCAGCGACGCCGCGUGAGGGAUGAAGGCCUUCGGGUUGUAAACCUCUUUCAGCAGGGACGAAGCGUGAGUGACGGUACCUGCAGAAGAAGCACCGGCUAACUACGUGCCAGCAGCCGCGGUAAUACGUAGGGUGCGAGCGUUGUCCGGAAUUACUGGGCGUAAAGAGUUCGUAGGCGGUUUGUCGCGUCGUUUGUGAAAACCCGGGGCUCAACUUCGGGCUUGCAGGCGAUACGGGCAGACUUGAGUGUUUCAGGGGAGACUGGAAUUCCUGGUGUAGCGGUGAAAUGCGCAGAUAUCANGAGGAACACCGGUGGCGAANGCGGGUCUCUGGGAAACAACUGACGCUGAGGAACGAAAGCGUGGGUAGCAAACAGGAUUAGAUACCCUGGUAGUCCACGCCGU
rnacentral:rRNA from 1 species